UACGGAGGGUGCGAGCGUUGUUCGGAAUCACUGGGCGUAAAGCGCGUGUAGGCGGCCCACUAAGUCUGAUGUGAAAGCCCGGGGCUCACCCCCCGGAAGUGCAUUGGAAACUGGUGGACUCGAGUCCCGGAGAGGAGAGUGGAAUUCCGUGGUGUAGCGGUGAAAUGCGUAGAUAUCAGGAGGAACACCGGUGGCGAAGGCGGCAUCCGUGGACCGACACUGACGCUGAGGAGCGAAAGCCAGGGGAGCAAACGGGAUUAGACGUACCCGA
rnacentral:rRNA from 1 species